rnacentral:rRNA from 1 species
CCUACGGGAGACAGCAGUGAGGAAUAUUGGUCAAUGGACGAGAGUCUGAACCAGCCAAGUAGCGUGAAGGAUGACUGCCCUAUGGGUUGUAAACUUCUUUUAUAUGGGAAUAAAAUGUUCCACGUGUGGGCUUUUGUAUGUACCAUAUGAAUAAGGAUCGGCUAACUCCGUGCCAGCAGCCGCGGUAAUACGGAGGAUCCGAGCGUUAUCCGGAUUUAUUGGGUUUAAAGGGAGCGUAGGUGGAUUGUUAAGUCAGUUGUGAAAGGUUGCGGCUCAACCGUAAAAUUGCAGUUGAAACUGGCAGUCUUGAGUAGAGGAGAGGUGGGCGGAAUUCGUGGUGUAGCGGUGAAAUGCUUAGAUAUCACGAAGAACUCCGAUUGCGAAGGCAGCGCACUGGACUGCAACUGACACUGAGGCUCGAAAGUGUGGGUAUCGAACAGGAUUAGAUACCCUAGUAGUC